AUUGGCCCACACCGCACUAAGGCACGCACGGGCCCGCGGGGGGAGGGAAAGAUCUGGUUCGCAAGCCUCACUGUAUUCUAGUGACGCGCUCCCUCGACUAAAGAUCCAAACUGACAAAGGGAAGGCAUGGGCCUCCAGGGGUAGUACUGCGGAUGAUCCAAGUGCAUGUGGAACAGGAUUUUAUAGCAUUCCCUGAGGUGAGAGUAGAUUUGUCUUGGGAUAGAAAUAUCGUUUCCUUGAAUUCAUCGCACGCUCAGUGGAACAUGUAGUUAAUGACAAUUCGUCUCUUGUCAGAUUCCUCAAUUGAAAAACAAGUGGCCCUGUUAAAGGCUCUUUAUGGACAUGGCCAGAUCUCUCACAAAAGACAUAAAACAGAUUCCUUUGUUGGACUAAUGGGCAAAAGAGCUUUAAAUUCUGUGGCUUAUGAAAGGAGUGCAAUGCAGAAUUAUGAAAGAAGACGUUAAUAAACUACUUAAUAUUAUUUAUUCAGCUUCAUUUGUGUCAAUGGCAAUGGAAGGUAAAUUAAGACAUGCACUAUGAGGAAUAAUAAUUUAUUUAAUAACAAUUGUUUGGGGUUGAAAAUUCAAAAAGUGUUUAUUUUUCAUA
rnacentral:sRNA from 1 species